UGGGGAAUUUUGGACAAUGGGGGCAACCCUGAUCCAGCCAUCCCGCGUGUGCGAUGAAGGCCUUCGGGUUGUAAAGCACUUUUGGCAGGGAAGAAACAGCCUGGGAUAAUACCCCGGGCGACUGACGGUACCUGCAGAAUAAGCACCGGCUAACUACGUGCCAGCAGCCGCGGUAAUACGUAGGGUGCAAGCGUUAAUCGGAAUUACUGGGCGUAAAGCGUGCGCAGGCGGUUCGGAAAGAAAGGUGUGAAAUCCCAGGGCUUAACCUUGGAACUGCACUUUUAACUACCGAGCUAGAGUACGUCAGAGGGGGGUAGAAUUCCACGUGUAGCAGUGAAAUGCGUAGAGAUGUGGAGGAAUACCGAUGGCGAAGGCAGCCCCCUGGGAUGAUACUGACGCUCAUGCACGAAAGCGUGGGGAGCAAACAGGAUUAGAUACCCUGGUAGUCCACGCCCUAAACGAUGUCAACUAGCUGUUGGGGUUUUAUUAACCUUAGUAACGCAGCUAACGCGUGAAGUUGACCGCCUGGGGGAGUACGGUCGCAAGAUUAAAACUUAAAUGAAUUGACGGGG
rnacentral:rRNA from 1 species